GUUUCCGUAGUGUAGCGGUCAUCACGUGCGCCUAAUACGAGCAUUGUCCCCAGUUCGAUCCUGAGCGGAAACA
rnacentral:tRNA from 1 species